GCUGCUGUCAGUUUUGAUGCACUGAGAAAACUUCAGAGACCUAAGCUUUUUCCAGAGAAGAGAAGCUUUACUGGUGUUCCAGCCCUAAGGCUCAUAUGACAUUAACAGACAAGACACUUUUCAGAAAGACAGAUGGAGUCUCUCUGUCACCCAGACUGGAAUGCAGUGGCAUGAUCUUGGUUCACUGAAACCUCUGCCUUUCUGGUUCAAGCAAUUCUCAUGUUUCAGCCUCCCAGGCAACGUGUUGGACCUUCCGGAGCUUCUCAGAAGACAGAGGGUUUUCUUUUGAGGCUGUUGUACAGUGGCCUGAUUAUAGCUCACUGUAGCCUCGAAAUUCUGGGCCGAAAUGAUCCGCCUGCCUCAGCCUCCAAAGUAGCUGAGACUACAGACAAAUCAACUCAAUCAAAGAAACCAACUCAAAGAAAGAUGGGUCUACAUACAACAAAACUGAACAAAAUCUGCAAGAAGAGUGAUUCAUACAUGGGCUAUUGAGGCAACAUGAGAUGGACAUUAAUCGACUAAGUAAAAAACAGAUUUCUUGAAGAAUUAAUAAAGAACUUUUGUUUUGGAA
rnacentral:lncRNA from 10 species